rnacentral:rRNA from 1 species
UGAGGAAUAUUGGUCAAUGGGCGAGAGCCUGAACCAGCCAAGUCGCGUGAGGGAAGACGGUCCUAUGGAUUGUAAACCUCUUUGUCGGGAGCAGCCACCUCACGAGUGAGUGGAAGGAGAGUACCCGAAGAAAAGCAUCGGCUAACUCCGUGCCAGCAGCCGCGGUAAUACGGAGGAUGCGAGCGUUAUCCGGAUUUAUUGGGUUUAAAGGGUGCGUAGGCGGACUGUUAAGUCAGCGGUCAAAUGUCGGUGCUCAACGCCGGCCUGCCGUUGAAACUGGCGGUCUUGAGUGAGCGAGAAGUAUGCGGAAUGCGUGGUGUAGCGGUGAAAUGCAUAGAUAUCACGCAGAACUCCGAUUGCGAAGGCAGCAUACCGGCGCUCAACUGACGCUGAGGCACGAAAGCGUGGGGAUCGAACAGGAUUAGAUACC